rnacentral:misc_RNA from 1 species
CUGCAUGUUAGGUAAAAACAGGUCGGCAGCAAUUGUAAUUGCUUAUUUGAUGAAAAGUAAAGGGUGGAACCUUGCACAGAGCCUUCAGUGGACGAAAGAGCGAAGACCCUCUGUUGACCUAAAUCAAGAGGUCUACCAGCAGCUACAGGACUACGAGCAGAAGAUCUUUAUGUCACUUCAGAGCAAGCCCAGCCCCGUCAUGCUAGCCUUCU